AGAGUUUGAUCCUGGCUCAGGAUGAACGUUGGCGGUGUGCCUAAUACAUGCAAGUCGAACGGAGAUUGUAGCAAUACGGUCUUAGUGGCGAACGGGUGAGUAACGCGUUGGUGAUCUGCCUCGAAGUGUGGAAUAACGAUUCGAAAGAAUCGCUAAUACCGCAUAGUCUCUCUUUUUCCAGAAAUUUGAGAGUAAAGGAUUUAUUCGCUUUGAGAGGAGCCUGCGUCCCAUCAGCUAGUUGGUAAGGUAAUGGCCUACCAAGGCGAUGACGGGUAGGGGACCUGAGAGGGUGGCCCCCCACAAUGGAACUGAAACACGGUCCAUACACCUACGGGUGGCAGCAGUAGGGAAUAUUAGAAAUGGACGAAAGUCUGAUCUAGCAACACCGCGUGUGCGAAGAAGGCCUUCGGGUUGUAAAGCACUUUUUGGAAGGAUUAGGAAGGAAUGUACUUCCAGAAUAAGUCUCGGCUAACUACGUGCCAGCAGCCGCGGUAAU
rnacentral:rRNA from 1 species